CCCUGGCGAAUGGAAGGAGAUGGACCAUCGUUUUUAUUUUUGGUUUCUCGAAGCGUCUUCGUAUCUUGAUCGCGUCGGUUCCAAUCUCCGAUCAUCUCUCUAUUGCUCAUCAGGGGAAAGAUGGUCCUGAUCGAGCAAGAACCGGACGCCGAGGGAACCCGGGAAGAAGUCCCUGCAGACGCCUCAGAUAUCUGGCGACGCUCCGGUGGAAGUGGGAAAUGGCGGCGACGAGGAGUCCUUUAAGGACGCCCUGACAAAAGAGAAGUUGAGAGAGAAAGCUCUUAAGCAAGCAAAUGAUGCAAAGGAAGAAGGGAACAAACUCUCUUUAGGAUUGGUCGAUAUGAGGAUGCACUCUUGCAGUAUGAGAUUCCUGAGCAAAUUGCUUCUGAGCAACCUUCAUUUAUAGAUGAAAGUUGAAAGAGAUGGGAAACUUUUUGUUGGUCGUUUUGGGAUGAGCCUGGACAACUUCAAAACUGUAAAAGAUCCCAAAACCGGUUCAUAUUCCAUCUCUUCUCAGCAGUAGUCCACUUCAAACCAAGGUUCAGAUUUAAAAGCUUAAUAUUUAACAGUUGGUACAUGAAAACUCGAGCAGCCUGUUCAUCUUGUUUAACGAGGAUAAACUGAUACUCCUUUAUAAAUAGCAAUCUCAAUCAGUUUGUUCACCCUGUUUAUACUGGAGCAGCUUGUCCUAAAACUUCCAUGGGCCGGACCGAUUGUAAGAGCUAGAUACCUGGAUUACUUAAAAAAAAAACUAAGAAAAGAAGCAAUGAUAUGACAGCAUUGAAGAUAUGUAUGGAUUCGGUGCAGAAAGCGCAAGUGAUAAGUAGCUUAUCUGUAAGCAGUGGAGCACAUCAAAUUACAAGAAAGAGAAACCAGACAAAAUUUGGAUAUUGAACCAUUGUAGCUGAAGCUUUGAGACAUCUGUUACGAUGAGCCACUUUUUGUGAGGACACCAUUUUCUUGGCUUAGGCGGUUUCAAAACAGCUUGUAUUGUUAUCCUUUGAAAUUUUCAAAAUUUGUCGAAAUUGCAUUUAAAUCCUCCAAAGUUGAUGAUUUUGCAUUGCGAUUAUUUAAAUUGUAUAAGAAAUUCUUGUAUUUUUUUUUUUUUAAAU